UACGUAGGGUGCAAGCGUUACUCGGAAUUACUGGGCGUAAAGCGUGCGCAGGCGGUUCGGAAAGAGAGGUGUGAAAUCCCAGGGCUUAACCUUGGAACUGCACUUUUAACUACCGGGCUAGAGUACGUCAGAGGGGGGUAGAAUUCCACGUGUAGCAGUGAAAUGCGUAGAGAUGUGGAGGAAUACCGAUGGCGAAGGCAGCCCCCUGGGAUGAUACUGACGCUCAUGCACGAAAGCGUGGGGAGCAAACAGG
rnacentral:rRNA from 1 species